rnacentral:precursor_RNA from 9 species
AGUAUUUUUGAAUCUUUUGUGAAUUCGGAUUGAGGUAGUAGGUUGUAUAGUUGAGAAUUACACCUAGACUGGCGAACUGUACAACCUUCUAGCUUUCCCUGAGUCACAAACAACACCAGGAAGACAGC